UACAGAGGCCUCGAGCGUUAGGCGGAAUCACUGGGCUUAAAGCGUGUGUAGGCGGGUCCGUAAGUACCUUGUGAAAUCCCAAGGCUCAACCUUGGAACUGCCUUUGAUACUGGGGAUCUUGAGUCCGGGAGAGGUGAGUGGGAACUGCGAGUGUAGAGGUGAAAUUCGUAGAUAUUCGCAAGAACACCAGUGGCGAAGGCGGCUCACUGGCCCGGUACUGGACGCUGAGGUGCGAAAGCGUGGGGAGCAAACAGGG
rnacentral:rRNA from 1 species